rnacentral:rRNA from 1 species
UGCUACAAUGGUUGGUACAACGAGUUGCGAGUCGGUGACGGCGAGCUAAUCUCUUAAAGCCAAUCUCAGUUCGGAUUGUAGGCUGCAACUCGCCUACAUGAAGUCGGAAUCGCUAGUAAUCGCGGAUCAGCACGCCGCGGUGAAUACGUUCCCGGGCCUU